AUUGAACGCUGGCGGCAGGCCUAACACAUGCAAGUCGAGCGGAUGAAGAGAGCUUGCUCUCUGAUUUAGCGGCGGACGGGUGAGUAAUGCCUAGGAAUCUGCCUGGUAGUGGGGGAUAACGUUCCGAAAGGAACGCUAAUACCGCAUACGUCCUACGGGAGAAAGCAGGGGACCUUCGGGCCUUGCGCUAUCAGCUGAGCCUAGGUCGGAUUAGCUAGUUGGUGAGGUAAUGGCUCACCAAGGCGACGAUCCGUAACUGGUCUGAGAGGAUGAUCAGUCACACUGGAACUGAGACACGGUCCAGACUCCUACGGGAGGCAGCAGUGGGGAAUAUUGGACAAUGGGCGAAAGCCUGAUCCAGCCAUGCCGCGUGUGUGAAGAAGGUCUUCGGAUUGUAAAGCACUUUAAGUUGGGAGGAAGGGUUGUAGAUUAAUACUCUGCAAUUUUGACGUUACCAACAGAAUAAGCACCGGCUAACUUCGUGCCAGCCGCCGCGGUAAUAC
rnacentral:rRNA from 1 species